AUUCGACUAGACGAGUAUAAAUAGGUGUCAGGUCUAGUGCGGCAGGGUUCUUCCCUGCAUCAUA
rnacentral:ribozyme from 21 species